AAUGCAUGUAAAUUUUUUCUGCUGUUUUUCGAUUUUUUUGUGUUUUUUUUUUUUUUUUUUUUGUUAUUCUCUUUUCUAUAUACGUUCAUACGAGAGCAGUACAGUAACGUUGGAUGGUAAAAAAUUUAAUUAAAAUUUAAUUAAAACUGAAAAUCUAAUUUCAUUGAAAAUUAAUUUAUACUCUUGUAUCUGUGUGUAUUUGUGCUUGUUUUGUGUGCGAGAGACAAUAACUGGAAAAUCAUUUAAAAAUGGAAACGAUUCUAAACGAAACGCUGUCGCGCUGUCAUUAUUUUAUAUUGUAUAACGAAGGUAGAGAACUAAACUGAAAUAAAAAAAAAACGAAAAAAAAAUUGAACUUUCCAUAUGGUCUGCUGAUGAUGACAGUGGCAUUUGAGAACUGAAACUUUUGUGCGAUCAUACUAAACGGAUAUAGCGGCAUUUCGAAAAAAUAGAAAAUAAAUUUAAAAAAAAAAACUUUAAAGUUGAAAUUGUUGAUAAAA